GACGAACGCUGGCGGCGUGCUUAACACAUGCAAGUCGAACGGUGAAGCGCCUUCCUUUUUGGUGGGUGUGGAUGAGUGGCGAACGGGUGAGUAACACGUGAGUAACCUGCCCCCUUCUUCUGGAUAACCGCAGGAAAGUGUGGCUAAUACGGGAUAUUCUGGGUCUGUCGCAUGAUGGGUCUGGGAAAGAUAUUGUUUCGGUGGGGGAUGGGCUCGCGUCCUAUCAGGUUGUUGGUGGGGUGAUGGCCUACCAAGGCGGUGACGGGUAGCCGGCAUGAGAGGGUGGGCGGUCACACAGGGACUGAGACGCCGCGAAGACUCCGGCGGGAGGCAGCGGGGGAGAAUGUUGCACGGUGGGAGGAAGGCUGAAGCCGUGCCGCCGCGUGAGGGAUGGAGUCCGUCGUGUAGUGAACCUCUUUCGCCAGUGAAGAGCGCCUGCCUCGUUUGUGGGUGGUUUGACGGUACCUAGAUAAGAAGCGCCGGCUAACUACGUG
rnacentral:rRNA from 1 species